rfam:Aedes aegypti strain Liverpool supercont1.393 genomic scaffold, whole genome shotgun sequence.
CCUCUCAUGGCGUAGUGGUUAACGCGCCCCAACUAGAGAUCGGGGAGUCGUGAGUUCGAUUCUCACUGAGAAAA